AUAUAUACUUACAUAAAAUUAACGAAAUGUUAUUUUUAUUCUUGAAAUAAUUUUUUUAGUCGAGUUGAGUCCUUUUAAAAAUGUUUCAUGGCACAGUUUUGAGGUGCGACUCCGUUUGUAUUUGGUUAAUUUUUCUUAAUCAUUCUAAAGAUUUUAGUUUCUAUCAAUUUCAUCAAAAUAUAUGUAAUAACUCCAAAAUUUAAAUCUGAAAAUAUAUGUGAUGGUUCAAAGAAAAUGGUAUAUAGAUUGUGCGACCAUGUGGAAUAUAAUAAGUAUGUUGCGGUCUUGUGAAUUCGGGAAAUGCUAGAUUUUUAAGAGUUCAAAUCAGUGUUCAUUUUGAUAUUUAGCCUUUUUAAUUCUUAAA
rnacentral:lncRNA from 1 species